AAGUCGUAACAAGGUUUCCGUAGGUGAAUCUGCGGAAGGAUCAUUAGUGAACCUUCAUCAUGCUCUUGUAACCCGCGUAGUUCGCAAUCUCUGAUAAAUCAUAGCCCGGAAAGUUGUAGUGAUUCAGAGACCUCUAGCUACGUGCGAACAUUGGAACAGUUACAAUCGAGCGGUAGUUCUAUAGGCGUAAAGUGUCAUUGGUUGUGCAAGGAUAGCGCUUCUACGAUUCCUGUAGACCGUACACUCGGGCAGGAGCUUUGCCGGUCCCCAUGCCCCCUAAUAACCCCACAGUUUAAUGUGAAGCUCAAUGUAAUACAUUGCGUAAAAAAACCGAACAACUGUUAACAAUGGAUAUCUUGGUUCUC
rnacentral:misc_RNA from 1 species